rnacentral:lncRNA from 1 species
CUUGAGGAGUAGAUUAGCGGUUUGAGAACAUUCAGUCACUGAGGGAUGUUUGAUUCCUGCACUGCAGCCAUCUUCCUGUCAAUAUAAUUCCAGAAAUACCGAGAGCAAUUCGGCUCCAAAUUCGUAUAACGACGGAAGGCAGAGCCAAGUUGUCCACAGUAUAUACAGCCUAUGAUUAGGACUGAUAUGCCCAAAUAAUGUGAGUGGGGAUCCAUUUUUUUAUUGGAGCACUGCUACACUCCACUCUGAUGGAUGCAGAGUGUCCCCUGUUAUUUGUUCUGUAAUGUCAUGACAUUGAUAGAUUGAUGGUACGACCACGACAGACUGAAAAAGAAACAUUACGGAGGAAUAGCGGACAGUUUAAAGCAUCCAGGUGUCAUCUAGCUCCUCCUUUCAACUACACUGGGAAACUUAUUGUGACCGGACGAGUACCAACCUGUGGAUAGUUGUGCAUAUCAGUAAAGUCACUACACGAUUUAUUUAUUUAUUCAUUUGGCUCUGUAUACACCAAAUCUGACACAUCCUGAUGGACCGCAAGAUCUUGUGUUGCUGCCUCAGUAUCACGGGCCAAAGAAAGAAUCAUGGUUUAAGGCCAUUCAGUAUAGACUUUGUUUAAGAAGCAAGCAGGAAAAAAAAUUCUGAAGUACAUUUCAAGCUCCCUGAUCAAUAGUUUUCUGUCUGAAACUAUACUUGUGUACUCGCCUGUCAUGCACUCACAUGUUUAGAGCUCUGUAAACACAUGUUUUUGCCGUGUAAAUGAACCCUAAGAAUGAAAAAGAAAAAAACGAGACAGCAUAUUCUAAUGCAAUAUUUGUUUGACUUUAAGCUUGAUGAUGCCUGUUAAAGCGACAGAGGAGAUAACAGAUUUUUAUUGAAGCAUAUUUACCUGAAGCUUUAUGCUUUUGUUGGUGUUUUAUCGACUGCUCCGUCCACAUUGACUUUGUGUUUCAGGGUUUUGUUUACAUUUCAUGGGUCUCACAGAUGGCAGUAUUUGUUUAAGUCUGACAUGUUGGAGCUGCUGCAGACAGAUUCUUCACAGUCUUUUUUAAUACUAUAGAAAUAAAGUGAUUAAGUUGGUCUCGGCAGAGUUGAUAAUCGCAGAAAUGGCAUGCUUGCAGCAAAAACAAAUAGGGCACAUCAUCAGACAUGCUGCAGUAAGUUUAAUUAUUACCACCAGCAUUUGUAAAAACAUGUUUUAGCACACAUACAUGCUCUCUAAUUCUGUUUUUUCAUGAAUAGCACUCCAAAUGUGGAAACCUUUCACCCGACUGUGACGGCUUUGUCCUGCCUGCUAACGCUGUAGCCAAACUUUUCAUUAGUAGUUUCCUUUUCCUCCUAUUGUUAACCACAUUUGUGCUUUUUUGAAUGCUGUAGAUAAAAGCUGCAGCUGAAUUCUCACAGAGGUAAUAAGAGCAAGGUUGUGACGUAAAGUAAAGAGUAUGAUUUAACGAUGUUGGUACUUGGAUCUCAGGAUUGAUUCAAAGUUUUUGGUUCUGGGACAUUUGAUUCUUUUUCAGCAACAGUUGUUUCAGCUGAAGUGAUAAAUACUUGUGGGUUUUUUAGCUCAUUUUUUAUCCACUCUUGUUAUAAAGGGAGUAGAAACUGGCCUUGAAUGCAUCAUUACUCUCUGUGCGUGACUCAUCCAAACCGUUUACACAUUCAGUGUCCCUAUUUUCCCCUAAUAGGACUUUUCCAAAGAAACCCUGUAAGCCUUGCAUUGUUCUGAGUGUCUCUCUUUAGGGCUUCAAUUUUCCCCCUGUGCACCUUUACUGUUUUAUUAUAAUGGACCAUUUGUAAACUGACAGUAAAGGGAAAGACUGUGUGAUGUCACUUUAGAUUCGCAAGGACAGAAAACAAAGAUAUAGACGAUCAAUUAUUCCACAUAUAAAAAAAAUUCAAGCAUGAAAAUAAUAGUGUGAUACUCAUUUCAACAAAGCAGCAGGGUCGGUGUUUUGGAGUUAUCAAUAAAGUACACGGCGUGGAAAUCGGUGAAGAAAUGAGCAAGAGAUUUAAUUUACAUGUACGUCUAAUAUCUUUGAUGGGAACGUAGCCCUCACCAAGAUAGAUGCCAUGUAGGCAAGUCACCAAGUGGGCUGCAACAGUGCGCUAACGUAUCUAGUCAUAUAUAUUUGUGCUAACAAGAGCCUCUCGCUCAGUCGCUCCAAGUCACAACUUGCGGGUCACAACAGACAAGUGAAUGAAACUUGAAGUACAAGGUAUCAAUGCAUGUAUUUUUUAUCUUCGAUUUCCAUUUGAAGCCACGUCACAGAAAGUCAAAUACUGAGUUGUUUUUUUGUUCUCUGAUUUUUAUGAUCAAAUUGAAAAACAGAAAACAGUUUGUUUUCCGUUUUUCAAUUUCCUACUGAUCAUUGGGAGACGGCUCGUUUUGAAAUUUUCAUUUUUUCAUAAAAAAGUGAAAACCUGUUGGCCGCUAAGUAGUUUUUUACAAACUUGUUUUAUGCUUAUCAGGGUCACAAUUUGGCCAAUCAUAAGCCAUAUAAGAGGAUAAGACGACAUGACCACACCUUGAAAGUGAAGCCAGAACAUUUGGAGCUCCCUCUACUGGCAGGUGGCAGCUUUCUUCAUAUUUAAUAACAGCUGAGCCACAAAAGCACAUCAAAUUAAUUUCACCUGAAUAUUUAACUCUUUGAUGUUAAUCGAGGGGAUGUGGUUAACUGAUAUUAGUUUUUUUUUAAUGGCUGAUGCCGACAGUGAGAGAAAACUGUGGUUGCAUUUGCCAAACACAUAAGAAAGUCUGUUGUCUGAGAGAAGCUUGAACAAUCAGAGGUUCAUUCUUUCCCAUCGAGCUUAAUGACCACUGAGAAGUAUUUGGCUUCAGCGCUCAAGGUCAGCAAAGAUUGUUGUCUGAGAAAGUCUGGCUGAGGCUCCUGAGUCUGCGGUCGUCAGCUCUCCAACAUCUUAUCAGAUAACUAUGCAUCUGAUUCCUGCUACGGUGUAAUUUCACAUUUUGAAAACAUUAGAUACAUGUGGUGAGUUUAAGCCUCACUCUAACAGUGUGUUAUUGUGUAUCAUGGUACUUAUUGCAGCUGUUGUAGUAUUUGUAUGUUUUUGUGGCCACAAGUUAUUUCAGGUGAACAUUAAUUUCCUUUUGAGACAUGCAGCAGACAAAGAGCAACAUUAGUCACUUCUUGGGUUAGCAUUCCUGUGAUUAUCUCCAGGAAAUCUGCUGUAGUCACUUAAUGCUUGUUGAUGAAAUUAUGUGGCUCUAAAGAAACAGACUUUUAUUUUUUAAAUUAUAAACAUAAAAUUUAACAAUAAAGCACAUAAUGCUCACCAUUGUCUCUAUUUAGUCAUCAAUAAUUAGCAGGUAAACGAGCAUUUGUCAUCACCUUUUUUGACACUGGUAUCAUCAAAGCAUAGAUCCAGUGUUGCCAACCCAGCUUUAGCAACUUUUCAGACCCCCCUAGCAACUUAUUUUUCAAAAAGCACCUAGCAACAAAUCUAGCGACUUUUUCUGGAGUUUAGAGACUCUAACAUGAAAGCAGGUAUCAAUGUUAAUCUUCUCAACGGGUAGACGGUGUGCACCCCGGACAGUGGCGGUCAGUGGCAGUGGUAGGUUUGACUGAGGAAAUUAUGCAAAUUAGGCAAUGAUGUCACCUAGCGACUUUAAUGACAGCCACUAGCAACUUUCCUUACUGAGGAGUUAGCAACACUGCGUAGAUCAUAUUUUUAAAACCAAAAACUCUGCACACCCUGAAAAGACCCACAUUAUGUUUACUACUAAAAAAAGUUAACUGUUUUUUUUUGGGAUAGAAUAAAUAGUAAAGAGUAAGAAGCACUUGUGCCUGAGCAGGUGCAUCAUGGGAGUGAAGUAACGAGAGAUGGAAAUCAAACUGUACACACAUCUAUACACACACGCACACACACACACACACAGUUUUUAGAGGAGGCCAAAUCAGACGUUUACGAUCAGUGAUAAGAGCCGUCCUGAGUGUGUGAGGGAGGAUACCCGUAUAUUUGUGUGUGUGCGUGUGUGUGUGUGUGUUGGAUUUGUCUCCUGUUACAUCUGGUUUUAAUGAGGGGAUUCCACCGCUGUGCCAGGCAGAGCAGAAGAGAGCAAGAACACGCACACACACACAAACACACACACACACACACACACACACACACACACACACACACACACACACACAGAAGAGACUCUUAACUCAUGACAUGGAACAGCGCUCUUAUUCUGAAGAGGUGCACAGUGUGUGUGUGUGUGUGUGUGUGUGUGUGUGUGUGUGUGUGUGUGUGUGAGGAGGAGAGGGGGGUUACGCUGACAUACCGCUGUCUCUCCUAAACUAACACAGAUUAACUUACUGACCCUCCUCUAUAUACAAUCUUGACCUUUUUGACAUCAUUGAAGAAGAAUUACCACCUCAUUAUUGUGCACCUCUGUCAACCUCCAUCAGUUUGCAGUGAACUUCUAUCUCUGUUUCCUUACAGUCAACCGUGGUGAUAGGGGGGAUAUACAGUACACAUGUAGUAUAUAGUAUUACCAAUAAUAAAGUCUUAAAGCCUGGAAGUUUCACUAGAUUAUGUCAUAUGUCAUACUCCCAAAGACCCAACAUCAACAUGGGAUAAGAUUGAGCCCCAUCUUGUAAAAUCAAACCAACUUAACAAGCUACAGUUGAGAGGGAAAACUUUAACAGGAAGAAAACUUGAGCAGAACCAGACUCAUCUGCAAAUUGGGGUGGUGCUGGUCUAGUGGUCUACGCACAUGCUCCAUUCGAAGAGAUUAUGUCGGCUUGGGGUCAACGACUGAAUCACGGCAACUGCAGUGGCAUGGAUUAACAGCACUUUAAGACAGAUGUAGAGAUGUUGCUGCAGGACGAAUCAUUCUUCAUGGCUAAUACUCUGUUUCCAGAGCUCAGCUAGAAGUACUGCAAACCACAAGGCUAACAGAAAGUUGUAGCUAACUCAAGCCGAAUGUUGUAUCAGUGGGUUUAGCAUAGCUAGCUGUUGAUAUUUCAUUAUAAAACUUGUGUUGAUUUAGGUGUUAUCAUGUUGUGCCUUUGCACAGCAGUGUGGCUCACAUGUACCCUCCACUCUUUCAUUAGAAGUUCAGAGCUUUGAUUUUUCUUCUGCAUGUUUUCUGUGUUUGCACAUGUCUCGUGUGAAAUCAGCUGUCUUGUCUUUUAUUUUAUUUUUUUUUAAUUACCAUUUUGAUAUAUUUAGGGUGACUAUACAUCCUUCUUUACCUGGACAUGUCCUCUUUUUUGGGGGGCUGUCAAGCCUUGUUUGGGGGGCGUUUAUAAAAUCCUUCAAAUGUCCGGGGUUUUGUAUGAAAGUUUUGAGUUUGUGUAGCGCGGACUAACUGAGUUGGAGGUGCGUAAAAAACACUUCACCCGACCUGAAAAACCCUCAAAAUUUGCUAUGCGCGACUCUGCUCCCUGAAGUCGUGUCCUCUUUUUGGGGAUUCAGAAUAUGGUCACCCUAGAUUUAUUUGCAGCACAUUUUUGCUGUUGCAUUUGUUUUGGACUUUUGCACCUGUUUGUGAAUUUGUAUCGUCUUCCUCAGCCUGUCAGCUAGCACAAAUAAAAGGGUUUAGAUGGUGAUUUCUCUCAGAAGGUUAGUCUAAGAGUAGUUUUGGUACUAAGUAUGCGGAUGAUUUCAGAGAUUUGCACAACACCCUGUAAGCGCUCAAUCACAUUUGAAACCUGUCAAAUUAUUUCCUUUUUAAAAUCUCAUGCCAAAAUCUCCUCCCUGUGCGUGUUUAUCUGUCUCUGCCAAACAGAGAUUCCCAAAAUGAUGAUUAAGUUUCCAUGGUUACAUACCAUCGUCUACGCAUGAAACAUGUCUCCACUGAAUCUAAUCAGUCACUGGAGUCAGUUUUCCUUUCAGAGGAAACGUUUCAUUCCUCAUUCACACUCCCCUACAUCUACAUUUAAUCCCAUUUUCUCUCCACCCUAUUCAUUCUCAUUAACCUUUCCACACACACUCACUCCUCCUUCCACCACUCAUCAUUGCUCCCAUACAGUAUAAAAUAAAUAAAUGUCCUCUCCUGUACAGCAGCCAGAUAAGAAGUCCUCCCCAGAGUUUUGGCAAGCACCAGGAGCAGAGUUUAAGAGCCUGUAAAUGUCCGAGGCAGGAAUGUGAGGCUGCCUUGUAUGGUCAAGAGAAUUGACUGCUGGAUCUUUUUUUAUACUCAUUUAAGUCUUUCUUUUUUUCUUAGAGGAUCUAGGCCGGCUUUGAUAGUCUCGAACAGAAAGAGGAUGAAGCAGGGAGGAGGAGGAGUAGGUGAAGAUAAAGAGGGUUCCCCACUCUCACAAAUGAGAUGUGGAAGUAUAUCCGCCUUCAUUUUUAUGACAUGAAUACUGUGAUUCAGUUCUCAAGUCUCAAAGAUCAAUCCAAGGACAUGUUUUUUGGUCCUAUCUGGAGUCAGGUCAAAGUGGCAGUCGGUAAUCCAGGCGCCUCUUUCCCCAGCGACAUUCUUCUAGCUCCUCUUGGGGGAUCCUGAAGUGUUCCCAGGCCUGAUGAGAUAUAGGAUUUAGUUCCUUGAGUGUAGCUUUGGUUCAUCCCUGGGAUCUGCACUCAGCUAGAUGUCCCCUGAAAACCUCAGAGGAGAGGCAUCCCAAUCAGAUGCCAUGACCGACUCAACUGGCUUGACAUUACUCAGAGGGACCUCCAGAUGUUCAAGUCCUUACCCUUUAUCCAAGACUGAGCCCAGCUGGUCGCUACUUAAAAGCUAGUGACCAAAGGUGGCGUAGAGUUUAAGCUUUGCACAUUUAUAAGCGAAAGCAAGCCGUGACUCAGCAUUUUUGCUGUCAUUGUGCUUCAUGAGACUUCUUCAGAAACCAAUGGUGACAUCAUGGCUUCAUCGUCGACUGUAAACCCCCCUAUACCACCAGCGAAGAUCACCAUAUUGGUAAUGCUGACUCAACCAGAACCAGGUCUAACGCCUUCUCACAAAUGACUACCUGCCUGUCAUUUCACUGUAAGAUGACGAGUUUCCCUCCUUAAACUGACGUGAUGAGAAGAUGGGAUUAUGGUCAACUGGAGACCUUCAAGUCCACAAAACAAAUGUAGACUGGAAAGAAGACUAUUAUGACCUCUACAGCAGUUCUAAGAGGAAAACACCAGGAGAGGAUCUGCCUUGUUCCUCCUGUAUUAGAAUACCCAAAUCGGGAUCAGGGUAUAGGACCUCUGUUAAAUUUAAGUGAGAGUCAAACACACUGUAACUCAGAGUUAGACAACCCCUCGAGAGAUGAAUGUUGCUGACCGCUUGCUUCUUCAGUUAUACCAACUUUAGUAACGACCACACAAUAGCAAUACACAGCAGUCUACAUCUCCACGCACAAACCUCAACCAAAAAGCCACUCUAUAGCCACAAAUAAUGCUCAGAACAGCACCUAACUUCAUCAACAGGACAAAUAGGGUCCUAGCCACAGUACUAGCCAUCAAAUAUCUUUUUAGCUUUGCCUGAUUUCUUUAGCAAAGAGACCAAACACAACUCACCCACUCUCUUCCAGCAGCCGCUUGUUUGUGGGGGUAGCCCUGACGAGUUGAUCACUGAGUGCAGCGGAGUUUCGCAGCUCAAGAAAGAACAUUUCCAUGAAGUAAUAAUCAUCAUAAUAAUUAUUUUGCACUGCAGACUUGGUAGUUCUUCUGCCUUAGCGUCUCAGUCUGAUUGCAUUUCCAUGAAGUAAUGAUCACUCGGUGAUCGACUCGUCAGGGCUCCCCCACAGACAAGCGGCUGUUCUGAGACUUAUUUGUGGCUUUUUGGUUGAGGUUUGUGUGAGACGUAGGCUACUGUUUAUUGCUAUUGUGUGUUCGUGGCUGAAGUUGGUAUAACUAGAGAAGCAAGCGGUUGGCAACAUUCAUCUCUCGAGGGGUUGUCUAACUCUGUGUUACAGUGUGUUUGACCAUAACUUAAUUUUACACCGGAAUAUCCCUUUUAAAGCUGCUAUGUUGGUUAAGUUACAGGUGAAACUUGUUGGCUACAGAAAUAACACUGAAGUGAAACACAAAAGCAGAAAAACAAAUGGGUGACAGUCUCUGGUUUAGACUCAGAUAAACAGAUUCAAUCAGAAUAAUGUUAGAUACAGACUUCAGUUACAGAAACACCUGCACAGACUUUGACUCUUUCUCGUCUGUUUUCUGAAGCAAAGUCUCCACAUGCUUCUCAGACCCUCCCACAGAUCAGCGAGUAGCUGCUUCUGGUUGGAGGCCAAAGCCUUCAAACCCGGGGUAUGUGCAGUAUGUGUGUGCAGCUCUCUGGGUGGUUAGGAGGGUGUGAUGUUUACAGAUCUGUCCAGGAUCAGCGCUCUCUGACUGUCCUCCCUCUCUGCUUUCACUCCU